rnacentral:rRNA from 1 species
UACGAAGGGGGCUAGCGUUGCUCGGAAUCACUGGGCGUAAAGGGCGCGUAGGCGGCGUUUUAAGUCGGGGGUGAAAGCCUGUGGCUCAACCACAGAAUGGCCUUCGAUACUGGGACGCUUGAGUAUGGUAGAGGUUGGUGGAACUGCGAGUGUGGAGGUGAAAUUCGUAGAUAUUCGCAAGAACACCGGUGGCGAAGGCGGCCAACUGGACCAUUACUGACGCUGAGGCGCGAAAGCGUGGGGAGCAAACAGG